AUUGUUCAUUGUUUUUAAUUACAAUGCAGCUACUGGUACAAUUUUGAUUCCAACUUCUGGAGUGCGGUGUACAAGCACACCUAUGGCAAAGACUUCAAAUUCAAAGCUGGUUAUGACUCAGAGGCGCGUCUAGGCUGGGCAUCUCUCUGGGUCGGAGACGAAGUGGGCAAGGCAAAGACAGCGCCAAUGAAGAUGAAAGUCCAGUUUAUGCUCCAAGUGCCACAAGAUGACAUCAAAUCAUCGGCAUUAAUGUUCCGUGUUAAAAAGAGGUGGGAUAUAUAGAGACAAUAUUAGUGGGACAACUACCUUUUCCUCCAUAUCUAAAAUGUGGCUCCUAUAUGGUAAUGGGACAUGUCCCAUUGUAAGUAAUGAUGCUUAUUGCUACAUAUAAUGACAUUAAUUGUUGUUUCCAUCUUCAAAUAA